GACGUAGGGCGCGAGCGUUGUCCGGAUUUAUUGGGCGUAAAGAGCUCGUAGGCGGCUUGUUGCGUCGACCGUGAAAACCCGGGGCUCAACUUCGGGCUUGCGGUCGAUACGGGCGGGCUAGAGUUCGGUAGGGGAGACUGGAAUUCCUGGUGUAGCGGUGAAAUGCGCAGAUAUCAGGAGGAACACCGGUGGCGAAGGCGGGUCUCUGGGCCGAUACUGACGCUGAGGAGCGAAAGCGUGGGGAGCAAACAGG
rnacentral:rRNA from 1 species